UACGGGGGGGGCAAGCGUUGUUCGGAAUUACUGGGCGUAAAGGGCUCGUAGGCGGCCAACUAAGUCAGACGUGAAAUCCCUCGGCUUAACCGGGGAACUGCGUCUGAUACUGGAUGGCUUGAGUUUGGGAGAGGGAUGCGGAAUUCCAGGUGUAGCGGUGAAAUGCGUAGAUAUCUGGAGGAACACCGGUGGCGAAGGCGGCAUCCUGGACCGAGAUUGACGCUGAACGGCGAAAGCUAGGGGAGCAAACGGG
rnacentral:rRNA from 1 species